rnacentral:rRNA from 2 species
AUCUUCGGACCUUGCGCUAAUAGAUGAGCCUAAGUCAGAUUAGCUAGUUGGUGGGGUAAAGGCCUACCAAGGCGACGAUCUGUAGCGGGUCUGAGAGGAUGAUCCGCCACACUGGGACUGAGACACGGCCCAGACUCCUACGGGAGGCAGCAGUGGGGAAUAUUGGACAAUGGGCGCAAGCCUGAUCCAGCCAUGCCGCGUGUGUGAAGAAGGCCUUUUGGUUGUAAAGCACUUUAAGCGAGGAGGAGGCUACUUGGAUUAAUACUCUAGGAUAGUGGACGUUACUCGCAGAAUAAGCACCGGCUAACUCUG